rnacentral:rRNA from 1 species
AGUGAACGCUGGCGGUAGGCCUAACACAUGCAAGUCGAACGGCAGCACAGUAAGAGCUUGCUCUUACGGGUGGCGAGUGGCGGACGGGUGAGGAAUACAUCGGAAUCUACUUUUUCGUGGGGGAUAACGUAGGGAAACUUACGCUAAUACCGCAUACGACCUACGGGUGAAAGCAGGGGAUCUUCGGACCUUGCGCGAGUGAAUGAGCCGAUGUCGGAUUAGCUAGUUGGCGGGGUAAAGGCCCACCAAGGCGACGAUCCGUAGCUGGUCUGAGAGGAUGAUCCGCCACACUGGAACUGAGACACGGUCCAGACACCUACGGGAGGCAGCAGUGGGGAAUAUUGGACAAUGGGCGCAAGCCUGAUCCAGCCAUACCGCGUGGGUGAAGAAGGCCUUCGGGUUGUAAAGCCCUUUUGUUGGGAAAGAAAAGCAGCAGGUUAAUACCCCGCUGUUCUGACGGUACCCAAAGAAUAAGCACCGGCUAACUUCGUG